rnacentral:tRNA from 1 species
GGAAGUAUGGCUCAAACAGUAGAGUACCCACCUAGCAAGAGUGAAGCUCUGAGUUCAAAUCCAAGUAUUGCCA